GUUCUUGUUUGGGUUUUUUUCUGCUAAUCGGGAGCACGCUAGCAACAUAAAACUCAAUUGAAGAGCCAGAUAAUAUUCAUUUGGCACAAAUCACAACCCAAGUAAACUCGCAAGAGCGUUAAGGCAUCAUUGGCAUUUGCUAGCCAAACCAAUAUCGGCGCCACCACAUAUCCAAAUUGACGUGGAGGAAGAGAAAAAACCCAAACAAGAACGACAAUCAAUUUAGAAGAGGAUGAAAAUCUAACAUACCGUAAUGAUAUAC
rnacentral:misc_RNA from 1 species